GGCCCAUGGAAUCAAUCUUGUACGCUUCGUGAAAGGCGAUUCCAAAAAUUAGGAUUUAUCUUCGUCUUCAAUCUCUGAAAAUCUAAACAAGCAAUGGAAUUUCAGGAGGUCGAGGGAAACGAAUCGUUAUGAGGAACCUUGAUGUCAAGCUUUGAUUGCGUUGCUUGGUCGUCUCCUACGAAACGUUACGAGAGUUAUUGAUUCAUCCACUUUAACCAACUUGAUAAGCAAAAUUUCUCAUUCAAUGCUACUUCUAGGCGGUGCAUCUCAACCUAUAAAAAGGCGGGUCUUUGUUCUUCCGCCGUUGAGGUGGGACUGCUCCGAUUCUGCAAAUCAAGAAAUGUAUGCACUUCCUAGAUGCAAAGAUGUGACUGGUCAGAAACUCAGGCUGCAAGAUUCCUCUCUAUUGAUUCGAUUCAGUGAUUCACCCUCUUUCGAUGAGUAACGAACCGGUCUCCCCAAUACCUGAAGAAUAUUUUAGGUUCCGCAAUCACAGUGAGAUGCUUGAUUACUUUGACAAUGAAUACAUCAGCAGCAUCAUUGCUGAGGGGCUAUGCCAAGGUUUGAACCUCGCUCUGAUCGUAGCUGAGCUUAAUGAAUUUAUCAUCACUCGGGUCAUACAUCUAUAUAUAUGUUUAAUAGUUUAGAAUAUUGCAUGUUUUGUGCUCUGAUUGUGAUUCUAAUAGUUUAAAAAUGUAGUAAAUUAACUUUACCUUCACGGAUCACGGGGAAGGUCACCGGCAUCAUGAUGGACAUACGGUGGUGUUACUUCUCUUGCUCCAGGUGUACCAAGAAGCUUCAACGGACUAUCUCAGGCUUUACUUGCUUGACCUGCAACAACUCUAAUGAUGUCGGUGUCCUCCAGUAUUAUGUUAUUUUAAUUCAAAUGCACACAGAGAUACGACUUGCACACACAGAGAUACGACUUACUUUGAUAAACUUUUUCUGACUUCUGUAUAUCGUUUAUACUAUUGCUGAUGAGACUGCUGAGGGUCUAUUUGUUGGUUUUGAUAGGGAAAUGACAAAAUAACAUCACAUCAAAGCCUAUGAAGAUGGUCAUUUAUUGGUACGUAACUAUUCUACACAUCAUCAUUCAUUUGUUUUCUAGGCUGCAGAUGGUGUGAAUCCAGAGGAGACUCCGCUUCCCUUUUAUCGCAUACAUGGUUGGCAAGACAAUGGAGACGAUAUGCUUGGAAUGAACUUAGUCUCUGAAAAAAGAGCUUAGUCUUUGCUAAGGUGGAUGUUGGUGGUAGUAUUCUUCAGGGAACACCGACUACAGGAGUAGGUUCAAGUGGUCUUCAUAUUAAGAAGCCUCCAGUUCGAGCAUCUUCCAAGAUGGCCAAGAAAGCAUAUGUGGCAUAGGUGAAGAUAAUUAGAGUUCUGAGCAAUAUUUCCUAUUUGAAUAAUGCUAACGCAUCAGUGUUGCUUUGGGAGAUUUUCUACUUUCUUUUUAUCCUUCUGGGUAUGCUAUGUUUUGUUUAGAAAAUCUAUAAAAAUAUUUAUAACAGUAAACAAAUUGAUAUCUUUGUCACAAGUCGUUUAAUCAUUACUAGAACUUGAUCA